rnacentral:rRNA from 1 species
GAUGAACGCUAGCUACAGGCUUAACACAUGCAAGUCGAGGGGAAACGAUAUUGGAAGCUUGCUUCCGAUAGGCGUCGACCGGCGCACGGGUGAGUAACGCGUAUCCAACCUGCCCACCACUUGGGGAUAACCUUGCGAAAGUAAGACUAAUACCCAAUGACGUCCAUAGAAGACAUCUGAAAUGGAUUAAAGAUUUAUCGGUGAUGGAUGGGGAUGCGUCUGAUUAGCUUGUUGGCGGGGUAACGGCCCACCAAGGCGACGAUCAGUAGGGGUUCUGAGAGGAAGGUCCCCCACAUUGGAACUGAGACACGGUCCAAACUCCUACGGGAGGCAGCAGUGAGGAAUAUUGGUCAAUGGGCGAGAGCCUGAACCAGCCAAGUAGCGUGCAGGAUGACGGCCCUAUGGGUUGUAAACUGCUUUUAUAAGGGAAUAAAGUGAGUCUCGUGAGGCUUUUUGCAUGUACCUUAUGAAUAAGGACCGGCUAAUUCCGUGCCAGCCGCCGCGGUAA